AGCAGCCCAAGAGGAAAGAGCUUUGUCUUGGAAGAGAGGGGAGGUCUGACUGCAGGAGCAGCAUUUGGCACUGCUGAGGGAUGGAGUAAUUCCCGGGCUGGGAGACACUUAUACAGCUCUUCAUAAAGAGAAGAACACAGAUAUGUACAGAAAACCAACUCGGAAUGAGUGCUCAGUGCAGUCCUGUGGCAAGGAGGACUAACAUGAUCCUAGGAUGCACAAAACAUGAAAAUAUCAAGUAAAA